rnacentral:lncRNA from 1 species
GGUACUUUUGGCUUGUUUUGUUAGUGUUUUCAACCCAAACUGAUUGAUUCAUCGGCUGUGUCUCAAAACAUGUAUUUGGAUAUCAGACUCCAUCCGUAUCAGAAGUGUUUUGGGUUUUAUGAUGCACAGACAUGCUGUCUAGGUAGGGAGCACACUAAAGUGUGAAACAGCAUGAGUGUUAUUUGUCAUGAAUUUAAACGAGAAUCUGAUAUUUAUGGGAAUGAGAUCAGAAUGCGAUUAAUCUAAAACAUGAAAGGGUGCGAUUGUGUUUUAUUCUAAAUGAGUUCGGACAGAUAUUAUUUGUCACAAACAGAAUGAGGCCGUUGUGUCUCUGAAUCUGAGUGAAGGUGGAUUGUUUCUCGGGUGUUUCUGGAGAUUUUCCGUCUGCUCUCUCACCCACGAUGUGCUCCAGAUGUUGUCUGAACACGAUAAGAGCUCGGAUCGCUGGCAUUCCUUCUGUCUGUGGUGUUCGGGACCAUGAGGAUCAGGAGGUGAGCGCAGCACCAAUCAUGGACGGCAGGGUCAGUUUUGACGCUGAUCCGGUCGUUGAUUUUGAGUAAGUGACUUUUUACAGUUUUUACUCUUUCCUCUGCACUUCCUGUGUGUUCUGGGCCUGUUCGUUCUGUGUGUGUGUGUGUGUGUGUGUGUGUGUGAGAGAUUCAUGACAUUAUUGAGUAGGGAUGUAACGAUUCACUCAACUCACGAUUCGAUUCAAUUCACGAUUAUUUUUCACGUUUCUUUGUGAAAAUUGAAAUAUAACACUAUAAUAAUAUACUAAUACAGCACUUGCAUAUUAUUGCUCUUUUGUUGGUUUUGAUUGCUUUUGUCCUCAUUUUGAUAAAAGGAUUGUAAAGAGUCCACUGAAGGCGAGCGUAGUGAGAACCCAAGUGCGGUUUAUUUACAAGUGAUCCAGACAUCCAAACAAUAAACGAAGACUAAACUUGACAUGAACAGACUAGACUCACCGACAGCAGGUUACAACAUCAAUACACAACAAAUCACAAUGGAAACAACCUGGCUACUUAUAACAGACAAUGAGGGUCACAUGACAUGAACAAACCAAUGGGAAACAAGACACAUGACUAAGACAACCAAUCAGAACAUGACACAAUGAACAAGACGAACCAAUAGCAUGGAGACAAGAGGGCAAGGGAAGCAUGACACUAACAGCAUGAAACAAACUACAAAAUAAAGACAUGAAAACAUGAACAAGAAACAGACCUUACAAGCGUCUGCUAAAUAACACAAUUUAAAUAUAAUGUAAAUGUAAAUAACUAAAAUAAACUAGAAAUUUAAAAACAAGGCCCCAGAUACAAAUAAAUAACACAAAUAAAAAUAAAUCUACUUCAUAUAAACAAAAUAAGGCUUUGUCUGUGUUCACACAAAUAAAAUAAAUCUCUUCAUAUAAACAAAAUAAGGCUUUGUCUGUGUUCUUUCCAUUUAAAAUGAGAGGCAACACUGCAUUUUAAUCAUGAUCCAAACAAAGAUGCUGCAUACAUUCAUCAUGAGCAGUUUUUCAUCUAAAUUAGAUUGUAUAAUUUCAAAAUUUGAAGCAAAAACAGAAUGGUUUGACUUCAGUUUUGUGAAACUAUACAUUAAAAUAUCUGCAUGAAACAGAAACAGCAGACGAGCUGAACGAGACGCAGAUUCACUCUCUGCCAGCAGGUGGAGCUUAAAGCGUUUCCUUGGUUACCGCUGUAAACAAAGCACUUAGGACACUGCAGCAGGUGGAGCUUUGUGGUUACAUAACCUCUUCUACAUUCAGGGACUCAAGGGGAAGAAAAUAUUCUCUGUUCUGCCCCGUCCUAUAUACUGUAGAUACAACAUUUUGCUAAUGUCAAGAUCAUUAUAAAAGAAAAAUGUGAGAAACAUUUGACAUUUGACACCGAUCCUAUCGUCAUCCCCAUCACCAGGUCACAGAGAUCAGACUAUCAAGCGUCUCUGACCUGCUUGGCAUCAACUUGCUAAUUAAAAAAACAAUGGCAAUAUGAGUGACUUUGAAUAUAAGAAUUGUUUAAAGCACAUUUCAUUUUACAUAUUACACAUGGUUUAUCAUUAACAAAAAUAUUUGAUCAUUUUCUCAGGCAGAUCCAGAGCAGCAUCACUCUGUCCCCACAAGAGGCCCACUGCUGCAGGAAACAGGAAGCAGACAGGACAAACAAUGCAGCACUGUGAUAAAGACUGACAAUGACAUUGUGCUCUACAUGUUUACCAUCCAUUGUUUUUAUCUGAGAAUCUUAAAGCUGUUGUAAAUUAUUUUUGUGCCAACAGCACCAAACAGAAAAACCAAAAAGGUUAUGAAAACACUUACCGAUUCUUUCCAUUAAUCGGCCAAACAAACUUGUGCCAACAGCACCAAACAGAAAAACCAAAAAGGUUAUGAAAACACUUACCGAUUCUUCCAUUAAUCGGCCAAACAAACAGUCCUUUCCCAACAUCAUGUUCAACGUCAGAUAGCCCGAUUUCUCGGGACACCUGUUUCAGUGAUAACUUGGCAGAUUCAGAGUUCAUUUGUGAAUUAUGCAGUCACAAUAACAGCAUUACAAUGUUGACUACAAA